rnacentral:misc_RNA from 1 species
GGUCGGAGGUUCAGUCCUCCCAGGCCCACCACUUCGCAAUCCGCAAGGAUUGUCGGAUCUCCUCGAUAUCCGUCGGGAAACACUAUCAGGGGCCGUAGCUCAGCUGGGAGAGCGCCUGCUUUGCAAGCAGGAUGUCGUCGGUUCGAUCCCGUCCGGCUCCACCAACCAUCUUCUGUGAAGGUGGGGCGUGUCGAGUAGAGGAUGAUCGCCCGCGGUCAGUCAUUCGAAAAAGAGUUUGCGGCGCGCUUCGUGCUCUCCGCCUGUUCUGUUUGACAUCGUAAAGAGAAGAUUUGUUCGAACUUCACGGCUGCAAGGCUGUGAUUUGUCGCAAGGACGCUCAAUCCCUUGCCUAUGAUGGGUUUGCCUAACCGCGCCCUCGAACGGAUCUCGAGAAGCUGGUCUUUUUGUGCCAAUUCCAUUGAAGCAAGCCCCGCACAGGGUUUUGCUCAGGCGGCGAUCCUUCGGAUCGCGCAGAUGGGUAUUGGCAAUGAGAACGAUCAAGUGUCUUAAGGGCAAUUGGUGGAUGCCUUGGCAUGCACAGGCGAUGAAGGACGUGAUACGCUGCGAUAAGCUACGGGGAGGUGCGAAUACCCUUUGAUCCGUAGAUCUCCGAAUG